AGGGGUGUCGCCAAGCGGUAAGGCAAUAGACUUUGACUCUAUCACUCAAAGGUUCAAAUCCUUUCACCCCUGCCA
rnacentral:tRNA from 1 species